rnacentral:rRNA from 1 species
GUGAAUCAUCGAAUCUUUGAACGCACCUUGCGCUCCUUGGUAUUCCGAGGAGCAUGCCUGUUUGAGUGUCAUUAAAUUCUCAACUCCAAGGGUUUCACGACCUUUCGGAGCUUGGACUUUGGAGCGUGCUGGCGUCGGUCGGCUCCUCUCAAAUGCAUCAGCGGAAUCCAACGUUUCGGACGUCAGUGUGAUAAUCAUGUUGCGCUGUCCUCCGAUCCUCGAAAGGCCCGCUCAUAAUGGUCUUCGGACAACUUCAUAUCAAAUUUGACCUCAAAUCAGGUAGGACUACCCGCUGAACUUAAGCAUAUCAAUAAGGCGAGG